UAUCGGAAGGUGCGGCUGGAUCACCUCCUUUUGAGUAUGGUGAAUAUAAUUGUCUUACCAGGCGUCCUCACAAGUUACUUGCAUUCAGGGUUUGAUGUUGGCAUAGGUUUGGGUUUAUGUUGGCGAUUUUUGUUCUGGGGGCUUAGCUCAGCCGGUAGAGCACCUGCUUUGCAAGCAGGGGGUCGUCGGUUUGAUCCCGACAGGCUCCCCCAUGAAAGUAUUUAUGGGUCUGUAGCUCAGGUGGUUAGAGCGCCCCCCUGAUAAGGGUGAGGUCGUUGGUUCGAGUCCUCCCAGACCCACCAAUGUUAUACCAAUUAUUCUGAAUGUAGUUUGCGCAUUUUUAUGCUUAUCAGCCUUGGAGCUGUGAAGCGUUCUUUUAUAAUUUGAUGAUGUAGCAAGCGUUUGAAAUUUUUAUUAAAAAUUUCUCAUUUGAAGCCUUAAGUGACAAUGUUUAUCCAUUGUCUUGUAGAUUUUGAGGCGACUUGGGGUUAUAUGGUCAAGCGAAUAAGCG
rnacentral:misc_RNA from 1 species